rnacentral:rRNA from 1 species
UACGUAGGUGGCAAGCGUUGUCCGGAUUUACUGGGCGUAAAGAGCGCGUAGGCGGUCGUACAAGUCGCGUGUGAAAUCCCCCGGCUCAACUGGGGAGGGUCACGCGAUACUGUUCGACUCGAAGGCAGGAGAGGGAAGCAGAAUUCCCGGUGUAGUGGUGAAAUGCGUAGAUAUCGGGAGGAAUACCAGUGGCGAAGGCGGCUUCCUGGCCUGUUCUUGACGCUGAGGCGCGAAAGCUAGGGUAGCAAACGGG